AUGUCUAUGAUAGAUUGUUAUAUGGUGUUAUAUGGUGUUACAUAGUGUUAUACGGUGUUUAUAUGAUGUUAUAUAGUAUUAUAUAUAGUGUUAUAAUACACUUCUCACACUUCUGAAUUAAUGUACACUAUCCUUACCCCAUAUAUACUCAAAUAUAAAUUAUACAUGUAUACACACACCUAUAUAUAUACACACAUACAUAUAUACUUAAAUAUAAAUUAAAUUUAUAGUUCUAUAUAUUAGAUUUUGAUCCACUAUAUACAAAUUUGUAACUAUGCCUGUACGUACUAUUCCAAUCAUGCCAAAGAAAAAAUUAAUAUCAAAUCUAAAAGUUAAAUCCUAAACCGAUAAAUGACAGUCUGCUCAUCGUCUCAAUGUUUCAUGCCGUUACCUUAAGUCGAUCAUCUCUGCUCUCAACAUCAUUCUUCGUUGCAACAUGAUCAUCGCUUUAUGUAAUGAAAUGGCUUGUUUUUAAAAGAAUAAAAACUUGAGACCCAAUAUUGUCACUAUCUCUCUUAUCAAAUUUAAAUCGGGCGACACGGUUGUCCAAAUCGCUCGAACUUCGCUCGACGCUCGCUCGAAAUAUUUACUGCUCGGAAAAUGCUCGCUUUAUUUGAGGCUCGGUUUUAAAUGAGCUGCUCCGCUCGGUUCGGUUUGUAAACGAGCCAAGCACGAGCAAAGGUCCGUUUAAACCGUGUGGAACGAGACUUCGAACAAGAACGCAAGAGUAAUCGCGGAUUUCUCAAGGGCUUAGCAAACCUACUAAAGGGAAGGAAGAAACGAGACCAUUAGUCUCCUUAUGUAAUGUUGUAUUUUCAAUUUAGUCCCUGCGUGGACAUUUAUCGUAUUCAGUCCCUACGUGGACUUAUCUUUAUAGUCCCUGUGCGGACAUCUAUCUUGUGUUGGUCCCUGCGUGGACUUGUUUUUCUACAAACCUCUGCGUAGGUACUUAUUUAAUUAAAAGUCCCGUUUAGGGCAGCGUGUAAUCGUAUUUGAAGUUUAUGGAAUGUUAUCUUAU
rnacentral:lncRNA from 1 species